rnacentral:lncRNA from 1 species
AGGCGUCUGCGUCCUCCCGCAGCCGGCGGUCGGGAAUUGCACCAGGGACCUGACAAGGGCACUGCAGAGGUGCGGUAGGCGCUGCUGUGUCCGCACAGCCAAGAAGUUUCGUUCAGGAUUAGCUCCUUGACACAUUUCCUCUCUCUGUGGGUGGCCCAGGUCUGGGCGUGUCCUCCUGCCUUCCCUUCACCCCGUAACUAGGUCGUCACCCCCACCCCCGGCCCUCCGGAGCAAAUCCACCGUCUGCCGGACUCCUGCCUUGGCCUCCUUCCUACCCUGACAUCCCGCUCCUUUUUGUUUUUGUUUUGAGACAGGGUUUCUCUGUGUAGGCUGGAAUUCACUCUGUAGACCAAGCUGGCCUUGAACUCACAGAGAAGCAUCUGCCUCUGUCUUCCAAGUGUUGAGAUUAAAGGCGUGCACCACAUCCUGAUUUUGGUCCCCAGAGCCCUCUACUUUCUUCCUGUUGUGCACUUGGCUCAGCAGCCGCUCCAGAGCCUCUGUCCGUCCUCAUUGUCAUAACUUCUGUUGUCUAUGUUUGUGUGUGUGUGUGUGUGUGUGUGUGUGUGUGUGUGUGUGUGUGUGAGAGAGAGAGAGAGAGAGAGAGAGAGAGAGAGAGAGAGAGAGAGCGAGAGAGAGAGCGAUGUAGAUCCUCCUCUGGGACUUUUUCUAUUCUCCCAAUGGCUUCCUCCCCCGAAUUCUUACUCAGGUUCCCAGUGUGGGUCUCCAGUGCUUAUGAUGAGCCGUUUCCCCCAUUUGCCUCUGACAUACACAGUAAAUGACUAAAAGAAUGGGAGGGAGCUUUAUAAAUUAAAUUCACCUAAAUGUCCGCGUACAGGAUGGUUUUGAUGUGGGUGCUGCGCUUGCUUUCCAUUCUUAAGCACAUUUGUCGUUUGGGAUUAUUUUGUUCUAUGUCAACUUUACUAUGUAUUUUCCAUAUGUUCUUUUUGCUUAAUGUAUGUCAUAUUCUACUGAGCACCAGAAUCUAUCCACUGCUUUAUAGUUGUACGUGUAAGUUGUUUGAGAUUUCCUGAUUUUUUUUAUUUUUUUACAAAAUUUUAAUUUGACUUGUUCAUUUAUUUUUAGCAGUUAACUAGCAUCUGCUCGAUUUUGCUCUCAAAACAAAAGCAGUAGGAAAAACAUAGAAGUAAAUAGACUGUUACAGUAAUGGACGAAGUACUUUUGGGGGGGGGGGUUCGAGACAGGGUUUCUCUGUGUAGCCCUGGCUGUCCUGGAACUCACUUUGUAGACCAGGCUGGCCUCGAACUCAGAGAUCUGCCUGCCUCUGUCUCCCAAGUGCUGGGAUUAAAGUCAUGUGCCACAACUGCCCGGUGGACAAAGUACUUUUUAAAGUUUUAAUUAUGUGUGGAUGUAUGACUGUGGGCAUGUGAGUGUAGCUACUCCGUGAAGCCAGACACAUCAUACGGCCCUGAAGCUGGAGCUGCAGCUACUUGUAAACCACCCAAAGUGGUUGCUGAGACUCCAGCUCGAGUCCUCUGCUAAAGCAGCAUGCACUUUUAACCUCUAAGCCAUCUCUCCAGCCUAGGACAGACUACUUCUAUAAAAGGAGAGACACAAGAGAGUGUCCAAAGACACGUGUCAUUUAGGUUGGGAUGGAAAGAAUGUAUAGAACAAUGUAAAUAAAUAGUGUGCUUAUAUUAUUUCUCAUUUUUCUUUUUUGGGGGAGAGUUGUUGUUUUGUUUUGUUUUUUGUUUUGCUUUUAGUUUGUUUAUUUGAGUCAAAACAAUUUUUUUCACCCUUGAAAAAAAUAACCUUAUAC